rnacentral:rRNA from 1 species
GCUGUAAAUCUAGCUUAAGCACAAUUCAAGUCAACACUAUUAAAAAAUUAUGUGACAAACAAACAAACUAAAACAUUCUACCACCCUAGUAUGUGAGACAGAAAAGGAUACCAUUUAGCCACAACAAAAGUACCGCAAGGGAACGAUGAAAGAGAAAUGAAACAAAUCAUUAAAGCACAAAAAAGCAGAGAUUACGCCUCGUACCUUUUGCAUCAUGAUUUAGCCAGCAACCCUGAGCAAAGCGCACUUUAGUUCACCACCCCGAAACUAGGUGAGCUACCCCGAAGCAGCCUAUUAAUUAGGGCCAACCCGUCUCUGUGGCAAAAGAGUGGGAAGACUUCCGGGUAGAGGUGAUAAGCCUAACGAACCUAGUUAUAGCUGGUUGCCUAAGAGAUAAAUAGAAGUUUAGCCUCACACUCCUUAGCUCACACAAACUUAAUCAAACAAGAGCACAAAGAAAAAUGCGAGAGUUACUCAAAAGAGGUACAGCUCUUUUGAAGCAGGACACAACCUCCACAGGUGAUUAAAGAUUAUAAUAAACAAGGCAUUUAUUCAAGUGGGCCCAAAAGCAGCCACCUAGACAGAAAGCGUUAAAGCUCAAGUAAACAAACCCUAUUAUACCAAUACAACAUCUAAAAUCCCUAUAUUUUAUUAGGCUACCCCAUGCCCGCAUGGGGGAAACACUGCUAAAAUGAGUAAUAAGAAGGAUACCCCUUCUCCCCAGUCCAAGUGUACGCUAGACCGGACAGCCCACUAGCAACUAUCGAACCCAAAACAGAGAGAAAUAUGAUCCCAUUAAAAAACAAGAAAUACUCAUAAUCUCCCAUCGUUAACCCCACACUGGAGGACUAAAGGGAAUGACUAAAAGAAUAGGAAGGAACUCGGCAAACACAAGCCUCGCCUGUUUACCAAAAACAUCGCCUCCUGCCCAAACCAAGUAUAGGAGGUCCUACCUGCCCAGUGAUAUAUUAAACGGCCGCGGUAUUUUGACCGUGCAAAGGUAGCGCAAUCACUUGUCCUUUAAAUGAGGACCUGUAUGAAUGGUGAAACGAGGGCUUAACUGUCUCCCUUUUCAAGUCAAUGAAAUUGAUCUGCCCGUGCAGAAGCGGGCAUAACCAUACAAGACGAGAAGACCCUUUGGAGCUUAAGAGAAAAGACUAACUACGUUAAGAAUAAACCAAUUAAACUAAGUAGAAACUAGUCUAAAAUCUUUGGUUGGGGCGACCACGGAAGAAAAUAAAGCUCCCAUGAGGACCGGGCUAAUAACCUAAAACCAAGAAAGACAUUUCUAAGUCUCAGAAUAUCUGACCACCACUGAUCCGGCCUAGGCCGAUCAACGAAACAAGUUACCCAAGGGAUAACAGCGCAAUCCCCUUUGAGAGUCCUUAUCGACAAGGGGGUUUACGACCUCGAUGUUGGAUCAGGACAUCCUAAUGGUGCAGCCGCUAUUAAGGGUUCGUUUGUUCAACGAUUAAAGUCCUACGUGAUCUGAGUUCAGACCGGAGAAAUCCAGGUCAGUUUCUAUCUGUAACACCACUUCCUUCUAGUACGAAAGGACCGAAGAAAGGAGGCCAAUAUCCAAAACACGCCUCAAUCCCACUUAAUGAAGCCAACUAAAUUAAAUAAGGGAUGGUAACACCCAAAAAUCGAGAUCAGAUU